GCCUGGGUGGCUCAGUCGGUUGAGCGUCUGACUUUGGCUCAGGUCAUGAUAUCACAGCUCAUGAGUUCAAGCCCCACAUCGGGCU
rnacentral:tRNA from 1 species